rnacentral:rRNA from 1 species
UACAGAGGUCCCAAGCGUUGUUCGGAUUCACUGGGCGUAAAGGGUGCGUAGGCGGUCGGGGUAAGUCUGAUGUGAAAUCUCACAGCUUAACUGUGAAACUGCAUUGGAUACUAUUCGGCUUGAGAGUUGGAGGGGGGACUGGAAUUCUCGGUGUAGCAGUGAAAUGCGUAGAUAUCGAGAGGAACACCAGUGGCGAAGGCGAGUCCCUGGACAACUUCUGACGCUGAGGCACGAAAGCUAGGGGAGCAAACAGG